ACGGUCCUAAGGUAGCGAAAUUCCUUGUCGGGUAAGUUCCGACCUGCACGAAUGGCAUAAUGAUGGCCAGGCUGUCUCCACCCGAGACUCAGUGAAAUUGAAAUCGCCGUGAAGAUGCGGUGUACCCGCGGCUAGACGGAAAGACCCCGUGAACCUUUACUAUAGCUUGACACUGAACAUUGAAUUUUGAUGUGUAGGAUAGGUGGGAGACUAUGAAGAUGAUACGCCAGUAUUGUUGGAGUCGUCCUUGAAAUACCACCCUUUAACGUUUGAUGUUCUAACGAAGAUUACGAAACGUGGUCUCGGACAGUGUCUGGUGGGUAGUUUGACUGGGGCGGUCUCCUCCCAAAGAGUAACGGAGGAGCACGAAGGUUUGCUAAUGACGGUCGGACAUCGUCAGGUUAGUGCAAUGGUAUAAGCAAGCUUAACUGCGAGACAGACAAGUCGAGCAGGUACGAAAGUAGGUCAUAGUGAUCCGGUGGUUCUGAAUGGAAGGGCCAUCGCUCAACGGAUAAAAGGUACUCCGGGGAUAACAGGCUGAUACCGCCCAAGAGUUCAUAUCGACGGCGGUGUUUGGCACCUCGAUGUCGGCUCAUCACAUCCUGGGGCUGAAGUAGGUCCCAAGGGUAUGGCUGUUCGCCAUUUAAAGUGGUACGCGAGCUGGGUUUAGAACGUCGUGAGACAGUUCGGUCCCUAUCUGCCGUGGGCGUUGGAGAAUUGAUUGGGGCUGCUCCUAGUACGAGAGGACCGGAGUGGACGCACCACUGGUGUUCCGGUUGUGUCGCCAGACGCAUUGCCGGGUAGCUAAGUGCGGAAGAGAUAAGUGCUGAAAGCAUCUAAGCACGAAACUUGCCAAGAGAUGAGUUCUCCCAGAUUAUAAAUCUGUAAGGGUUGUUUAAGACUAAGACGUAGAUAGGCAUGGUGUGUAAGCGGUGCGAGCCGUUGAGCUAACAUGUACUAAUUGCCCGAGAGGCUUAACUAU
rnacentral:rRNA from 1 species